rnacentral:lncRNA from 1 species
AUUUAGGGUUUAGAUUUUAGGGUUUAGAGUUUUGGGUUUAGGGUUUAGAUUUUAGGAUUUAAGGUUUAUUGUUUAGAGUUUGGGUUUAAGGUUUAAGAUUUAGGGUUUAGAUUUUAUGAUUGAGAUUUAUGGUUUAGUGUUUCGAAUUUAUGACUUAUGGUUUUAGAGUUUAGGUUUUUAGACAGCGUUAAUUAAUGUUGGUGUUGUUGUUUUUUUUCAGAUAUUUUUUUUUAUUGACUUUUUUAACUACUCAUACAUGUCACUUUAAUUGGUUAUGAAGAGUGUGGUGAAUUUAACCAUUCACCAUAGG